ACUGAAUAGUAGAGAUUCCUCCCUAACUUUUAUAAAGUGUAAGGGCACAAAUCCCGAAGCCAUUUGUUUUAUGCAGAAAUACUGCCGUCUACAAGUUCAUUUAAUGAUGUUGAAAGUUUCUUGGAUUAAGAUUUGACUGAAAAGGGGCAAUAUAGAAGAGGCAGUAGUUGACUUGAUGCAUAUCUUCGCUUUGCCUUGUCAUAGACCAGACUGUUUUCAAUGUUUAGAAUAUAUGGGAAGGGAAGCUAAAAUGAAAAUAUUCUCUGGAUCCCAAAAUAAUGCUAUUUUCUAAUGGGGUGUAAUAUUGGUAUUGAUAAAUAUUUGGCUAUUUCUUUCUGAUGAUGAAAGUAAUGCAUAUUCAUGUAUCUGUGUUACAGGUCAUUGUCACAAGUCACAAGUGGCUCCGGUCUGGUUUGGGGGUCUACCCUAGCUCAUCCUGUCCUGCCACCCACACAAAAAGAGAAAUAACUACAGGCCUCUGCAACUGCUGUCUCUAGGAACGGUACGCAAGUGUCCAGUGACAGCCCAGGCAACGGAUACCGUAACAUUCACCAAUGUGCUGGCGCAUGACCGAGAAGGGGGGACGUCGCAAACGCCAGUGUGAAGGAGCAAGCUAGAUUCAUUGAUGAUCAUCAUGUUUUGAAUAAAGUUUUUUUGGAAAAAAAAGUAAACAUUUUCUUCGAUUCUGAUUAGGGUUAUUGGGGUAUUGGACUAUGUUAGUCGCUGGGUAAUUUUCUUAGCCUUGUUUUAAAGACACCAAGCGAGAAUGUUAGAUUGUUAAAUGUGAAGGCUACUUUAUGCGGAUGUAGGCCUAUGAUUGUUGCUUCUGACUGUAGGGUAAUUAAAUAAGGUAGCCCAAACACAUCAUAGACUAAACAUCAUGUAGCCUAACUAUAAAUGCCGAAAAUAAGGCAUAGCUGGCAUCGAUCCGGUACGCGGUUCCAUGCCGCAUCUAUACGGGACUGGGCCAGCGCUGUUCCAGUUCCAAUUCGGAGCCGUGCAACGGAGCCUGACCACUUCGUGGCCGAUGUGCGUUUGGACGCUGGGCCGUGUCCGUUAAACGGAUCAGAUGCGGAUGGAACGGUAAGUGUGGGCCAGAUCCACCCCAGUGUAGUUUUACUGUUUUGGUACGGGAAUGGGCCAGCGCCGACCCAUCUCCGGUGCAGAGCCAUAAAACGAAUCCUGACCACUAUCGGCCCGCUGUGCGUUUGGACGCUGGACCGUGUCCGUGAGACGGAUCCGGGGCGGACCGCAU